rnacentral:rRNA from 1 species
AUUUCUCUUCGGAGCAAGGAGACAGGUGGUGCAUGGUUGUCGUCAGCUCGUGUCGUGAGAUGUUGGGUUAAGUCCCGCAACGAGCGCAACCCUUAUGGUCAGUUACUACGCAAGAGGACUCUGGCCAGACUGCCGUUGACAAAACGGAGGAAGGUGGGGAUGACGUCAAAUCAUCAUGCCCUUUAUGACUUGGGCUACACACGUACUACAAUGGCGUUAAACAAAGAGAAGCAAGACCGCGAGGUGGAGCAAAACUCAGAAACAACGUCCCAGUUCGGACUGCAGGCUGCAACUCGCCUGCACGAAGUCGGAAUUGCUAGUAAUCGUGGAUCAGCAUGCCACGGUGAAUACGUUCCCGGGCCUUGUACACACCGCCCGUCACACCAUGAGAGCCGGGGGGACCCGAAGUCGGUAGUCUAACCGCAAGGAGGACGCCGCCGAAGGUAAAACUGGUGAUUGGGGUGAAGUCGUAACAAGGUAGCCGUAGGAGAACCUGCGGCUGGAUCACCUCCUUU